CCAGCAAGUGACAUCAGCAGUGUUUCAGGGAAAGCAGCAAGUGUUAUAUUCAAAGAGCUUUCCCUAAUGGGACACAGGUCUAGGAGCAGGAGUAUUUUCAUUUUUCCCCUUCCACUGGCAGAGAGCAGUCUGGGGAAAAAUGUGUUAUCCUUGUAUGUAUGGGCUCUGCAAGGAGGGAGGGUUUCAACAUUCGGAAAAGAUGAAGAAAUUCCCGUCCUGUUCAAGGCAAAAUCCUGCUCUCCUGGAGUGCAGUUAUCAGAUGCUCCAUUGGGAAGGUGGUAGACUAAUGAUCACCCUCAUCUGUUCCAGAUGAAUUAAAUCCAGACCUUUCUGAAGGGAGGAGUGUAACCUGUGGUCCUCUGCACUCAUGUGGAGCUGAGUGGGAUUAGGGCGCCUGUCUUGGGAACAUCAGAAUUUGGAACAUCUCCUGGAAAUGUGGCUAAAAGGUUCCUCACUUCUGUAGCAAGCAUUCGGGCUUAUAAGACGUUGGUUAUGAGGCAGGUUUUAUUUAACCUGCCAAAAAUUCAAAGGACACCGACCUGAAUUAUUAUUAUUAUUAUUCUCAGGCAGCUCUGGGGCACAUUGAAUAGAGUGUUGGACCCAGAAAGACUUGAGUUCAAAGGUACUUUGAAACUUUGUGACCCUGGGCAAGUCACUUAACCUCUCUCAGUCUCAGUUUCUUCAUCUGUAAAAUGGAGAUAAUAAUAGUAUCUACGUUCCAGAGAUGUCCAAAGACUAAUACAAAAUAAUAUUUGUAAAGUGCUUUGAAAACCUUAAAGCUCUAACAUCAUCAUUGUAUUAUUUUUAUUAUUUUUUCCCUUUGAUAAGUUGGGAAUUGGGUCAGAUCAUGAAGCAGACAUGCAACUCACUUCAAGUGGAUGCCUCCAGCACAUUAGCCACGUGGGAAGGCGUCUCCCUAGAGAAGUAAAUAGGGAUUAUUCUUCCUGUUCCUGGGAUGAAGAGGGGAGAGGGACCUUCUAGAAUUUGCUGAUAAGAUGGGACUCAAGUCUCUUUCUUAAACCUUAUAGAAAAAGUCUAUAUACUUGGAAAUAUUGAGUGGGACACUGGGUGGCUUUGGGGAUCACCUCAAAAACGAACCUCCAUAAUCCAGUACUCCUACUGGAAGGGCACCAAUUCAGAAAGAAAUAAUCCCAGGGGUAGAUGGAAGGCUCAGUGGAUAGAGUACCAGGCCCUUGGGUUCAAAUCUGAUCUCAGACACUUUUCUAGCUGUGUGACCCUGGGCAAGCUGCUUAACCACAAUUGCCUAGCCCUUACUGCUCUU
rnacentral:lncRNA from 1 species